UAGUGGCGAACGGGUGAGUAACACGUGGGCAAUCUGCCCUGCACUCUGGGACAAGCCCUGGAAACGGGGUCUAAUACCGGAUACUGAUCCUCGCAGGCAUCUGCGAGGUUCGAAAGCUCCGGCGGUGCAGGAUGAGCCCGCGGCCUAUCAGCUAGUUGGUGAGGUAACGGCUCACCAAGGCGACGACGGGUAGCCGGCCUGAGAGGGCGACCGGCCACACUGGGACUGAGACACGGCCCAGACUCCUACGGGAGGCAGCAGUGGGGAAUAUUGCACAAUGGGCGAAAGCCUGAUGCAGCGACGCCGCGUGAGGGAUGACGGCCUUCGGGUUGUAAACCUCUUUCAGCAGGGAAGAAGCGAAAGUGACGGUACCUGCAGAAGAAGCGCCGGCUAACUACGUGCCAGCAGCCGCGGUAAUACGUAGGGCGCAAGCGUUGUCCGGAAUUAUUGGGCGUAAAGAGCUCGUAGGCGGCUUGUCAC
rnacentral:rRNA from 1 species